GACGAACGCUGGCGGCGUGCCUAACACAUGCAAGUUGAGCGACGAACCAGGGCUUGCCCUGGGGCAAAGCAGCGAACGGGUGAGUAACACGUGGGUAACCUACCCCGAUAACCGGGACAACCCGAGGAAACUCGGGCUAAUACCGGAUGUGCUCACUGGACUUCGGUUCAGUGCGUAAAGGAAGCUUCGGCCUCCGUAUCGGGAGGGGCCCGCGGCCCAUUAGUUUGUUGGUGAGGUAACGGCUCACCAAGACCGCGAUGGGUAGCUGGUCUGAGAGGACGAUCAGCCACACUGGGACUGAGACACGGCCCAGACUCCUACGGGAGGCAGCAGUGGGGAAUCUUGCGCAAUGCGCGAAAGCGUGACGCAGCAACGCCGCGUGGGGGAAGAAGGCCUUCGGGUUGUAAAACCCUUUCAGGAGGGACGAAGGUACGGCGGUGAAUAGCCGUCCGGACUGACGGUACCUCCACAAGAAGCCCCGGCUAACUACGUG
rnacentral:rRNA from 1 species